UCAAGGUUAUGCCCUGUUGCUCUUGGUGUGGAUAGUGAAGGAUCCGUGCGGAUGCCUGCAUCCCUUUGUGGUGGUGUUGGGUUCAAACCAACUUUUGGGUGCAUACCUCAUUCAGGUGUUCUUCCUCUGAACUGGACAGUUGGGACAGUUGGAAUACUAGCUGCCACCUUAGAGGAUGCAUUUAUCGUUUAUACUGCUAUUAAUGGAGAACUUCCAUCACAUAAGCCAACCACUUUUCCUGUAAGUACCAGUUCUGU